UACAGGGGGGGCAAGCGUUGCUCGGAAUUACUGGGCGUAAAGGGCUCGUAGGUGGCCAACUAAGUCAGACGUGAAAUCCCUCAGCUUAACUGGGGAACUGCGUCUGAUACUGGAUGGCUUGAGUUUGGGAGAGGGAUGCGGAAUUCCAGGUGUAGCGGUGAAAUGCGUAGAUAUCUGGAGGAACACCGGUGGCGAAGGCGGCAUGCUGGACCAACACUGACGCUGAGGAGCGAAAGCCAGGGGAGCAAACGGG
rnacentral:rRNA from 1 species